AAGCAGUGAAAAUUUAACAAAGGUGCAAUAGAAAUCUAAGUUUGUGUGCAUUCGUAAUAUAAAUAUAGUAGAUUGUUAACCGAGGGUCGAAAGAAUCAUUUCCCGAGCUACGGCGCCCUUCAGACCGAAACACAGUAAUGCUUACACAUUACUGCUGCACGACAUAAAUAGGCGCCGUUGUGGUACCCAUGAUCCAGCCGGCAUCUGGUGCAAAGGAGCCUCCCACUGGUCAAAAAGAAUAACAUAUGAAUGCCAAAAGUUAUAUCGAAGACCGACCCAACCUCUAUCAAUCAUUAUUAUAUUACGUACUCGAAACUAAAUCUUAACAGAUAGCAAUAAGGUUAGCUUUUAUUAAAUACAUAAAUGACACGUGG